rnacentral:rRNA from 1 species
AGCGAACGCUGGCGGCAGGCCUAACACAUGCAAGUCGAACGGACCCUUCGGGGUUAGUGGCGGACGGGUGAGUAACACGUGGGAACGUGCCUUUAGGUUCGGAAUAGCUCCUGGAAACGGGUGGUAAUGCCGAAUGUGCCCUUCGGGGGAAAGAUUUAUCGCCUUUAGAGCGGCCCGCGUCUGAUUAGCUAGUUGGUGAGGUAAUGGCUCACCAAGGCGACGAUCAGUAGCUGGUCUGAGAGGAUGACCAGCCACAUUGGGACUGAGGCACGGCCCAAACUCCUACGGGAGGCAGCAGUGGGGAAUCUUGCGCAAUGGGCGAAAGCCUGACGCAGCCAUGCCGCGUGAAUGAUGAAGGUCUUAGGAUUGUAAAAUUCUUUCACCGGGGACGAUAAUGACGG